rnacentral:rRNA from 1 species
GUAGGUGGCAAGCGUUGUCCGGAAUUAUUGGGCGUAAAGCGCGCGCAGGUGGUUCUUUAAGCCUGAUGGUGAAAGACCCCCGGGCUCAACCGGGGAGGGUCAUUGGAAACUGGGGAACUUGAGUGCAGGAGAGGAAAGUGGAAUUCCACGUGUAGCGGUGAAAUGCGUAGAUAUGUGGAGGAACACCAGUGGCGAAGGCGACUUUCUGGCCUGUAACUGACACUGAGGCGCGAAAGCGUGGGGAGCAAACAGGAUUAGAUACCCUGGUAGUCCACGCCGUAAACGAUGAGUGCUAAGUGUUGGGGGGGUUUCCGCCCCUCAGUGCUGCAGCUAACGCAUUAAGCACUCCGCCUGGGGAGUACGGUCGCAAAGACUG